UUUUUUUUCAAUUUGUCCUGUAAAUCAUGUGUAAGAGUCUCCUAUUUUUUAAAUGCCUUCCUAGUCAUUUCUCUCUUCUUGUAUACCCUCUAAUUGAACCACAUCUUGUGUCUGCUCUCUAUCUAAUUCGUUUGAUCAUUUUACUUUAUAUCGUAUUGUCUCUUUAUCCCCUCUUGAUAAGCACAUCUCUUCCAUAUUUGUAAUGGAUCAAGACAUUCAUAUUUGAACAUCAUUGUAUGUAUGG
rnacentral:lncRNA from 1 species